AACACGUAUGCAACUUACCCAUUACUGGAGGAUAGCUCGAAGAAAUUCGGAUUAAUACUCCAUAACAUAAUGAAGAGGCAUCUCUUUAUUAUUAAAGCUCCGGCGGUAAUGGAUGGGCAUGCGUUGCAUUAGCUAGUUGGUGAGGUAAUGGCUCACCAAGGCUACGAUGCAUAGGGGAUCUGAGAGGAUUAUCCCCCACACUGGUACUGAGACACGGACCAGACUCCUACGGGAGGCAGCAGUAAGGAAUAUUGGACAAUGGUGGCAACACUGAUCCAGCCAUGCCGCGUGAAGGAUGAAGGCGCUAUGCGUCGUAAACUUCUUUUGAACGGGAGAAACCCCUGAUACGUGUAUCAGGCUGAUAGUACCGUUAGAAUAAGGGUCGGCUAACUUCGUGCCAGCAGCCGCGGUAAUACGAAGGACCCGAGCGUUAUCCGGAUUCAUUGGGUUUAAAGGGUGCGUAGGCGGAAUGAUAAGUCAGUGGUGAAAUCCUGCAGCUUAACUGCAGAACUGCCAUUGAUACUGUCGUUCUUGAAUACAACUGAUGUGGGCGGAAUGCGCCAUGUAGUGGUGAAAUACUUAGAUAUGGCACAG
rnacentral:rRNA from 1 species